AUUUCGCGCAUAACGUAAAUUGAAAUGCGCGCGGACGGAAAGACAUUUCUAUUCUAGUCUCCCCUGCCUCAUCCCUUCCCCGAAGGGCUGCUCAUCGAUGAAGAAGCCAUGGAAGAUCAGGCGAGCUUGCCCAAAAUUAGGGCGCCUUUCACUUGCACCGCAGAGAUCAUGCCCAAUGUCCCUGUGGAGGAGGGUAUUGGAAGCAUUGGACGUAGUUCUUUUUAUUGUUGUCCUAAACAAAUAGCGUUUCUCGUUGUAUGCUUUUGGGUGUUUUGUCUUCGUACUGUAAAGUGGCAGGAAUUGAAUUGAUUCAACAUCUUUUUACGUUUGUUUGUUUGUCUGUUUGUGCUUGAAUUAUGUUCUAGGAUCUACCGAUACAAUCUUCUCAAAACCAGUCGGAAUUUAUGGUAGUUAUCUAAGAUUUGUAUAGCUUUUUUCACGUAUUUAGAUUAUUUAGGUGCUCCGUGAUUGUUUGUUUCUGGAUUUUGUAUUUGUCGUGUUGGCUGGUAGGAAUUGUUCUUCCUUUUGCUGCUUUUAAACUUACUGUCAUGUAUCUUAACCUUCUGAAAAUGUAAUGGAGAUUUAGCCACUGGCAAAGAGUUAGGUUACCAAGCUCUUUUGGCCAAGAACAUUUACUUAUAUGACUUCUAGAUACAGAAUGUCUGCUUGAUUGAACAUGGGAAUAAACAUUUAGUGGCUUUAUCACAGCAUAAAUCACUUUAUGAUGUUGGAAAGGUCAAGCUUGAAUGCAAGAAUUAGUUUCAUUUCAAUGAUUUGAACUUCAAUUUGAACCAACUAUCUUAUUUGGUUCGUGCCCUGACUAAUGGUUCUUGUAUUUCAUCAAAUUUAGCUGGUACGAAUUGACUCUUUUUAUGAGAUAUCAAUCUUAGAUUUUCUGAGGGUACUCAAUCUUUCUGAGCCUGUGAUUAAUCACUUUAGUUGUGCUCCACUGAAUAAAUAUGUCCUUGUCUUGAGCUCGUACAUUUAUAGCUCUGAAGCUGGGGCUCAUGGGUGAUUGAAUUAAUCGGUUUUAUCAUUUAAUUGUGAGCUUCACUUUUUCUACGACAAAAUUACAUUCUCAAUAUUGCUUCCCUAUGCUUCACAGGUAAUCUUGUUUUAUAUUUUGUUUCAUCGAUUAUCGCCUUGCAUUAGAACCGUGGUUAUCAUGUUCCUUGACCAUGAAGUUCUCCUAGCUGUCAGUUUAUUGUGAGCUGACAAGGAUUAAACCUGAGAGCGCAGUUAGGGAAUAAGUCAACCCAAUCCAUUCACAUUCCCGAGAAAGGAAAAAUGUGCAAGACGAGAGAGUUGCACAUUUUGGUAGUGCAAAGACAAAUAUUUUUUAACUUUCAUUCUCCACAGCCCAUCAUCGUGUAUGUUUAUGGUGUUUUUUAAACCAACUUUUAAUUCUAAAUUUCUAUUACUUUUCAGAUUGGAGGCUUGUACCAUAUAUCUUUCUGGACAACGAACUUGUUUGUUCUGCAGUUUCUAUGCAGAAGUUGGAUUUUUUAUGAGUUCACCUGGUAGAGUUCUAUAAACAACUAUGUGAAACCAACCCAAAACAUUUAAUUAGAUUUCACAGCAUUCUGUCAACAGUUGUUACAGAUAUUGAUACUAUUUUGAUACUAUCAAGGUCGGCCUAGCAAUGUUAUUGACGUACUGUGCUUCUAUUUCUUUUAGUAAAUAAAUGUUUAUUUUCUCAAUUGUGUACCAUAUGACUUGUUAUUAGGUACGUAGAGUAGUAGAAAAGCACCCCUCUGCACUUAUUGUUCUGUUGCCCUGUCUUUCGUUUCGCUGCACUUGAGGUCGAAUUGUUAUAUAUAAUUGAGGUGUAGGCUGUUGCUAGGUCGUUUUGUAAUUAUAAUCUUGCUUUUGUUCUUUUGAAUUGAAGUACUUCUACAUAGUUAGAGUGUGGAUCGUUUUUGUUCGGGCUUGUUUUUUGUAUGGCCUUGUAUAUUCUUUCAUUUUCUCAAUGAAGUACGGUUUCUUACAAAAAAAAAGUGUAGGGGUUAUGUUGCUUGACUUCAUUAGAGGAUAAUUAUCACACUUUACAUUUUUCGAUUCCCUUUGUUAAUGUUGUGUUGGCCUAAAAUCCGAAUAUAACGAAGACGAGGAAACAUGGAUGACAUGUCCACUUGUUUAUAAUUUUGAUAAUCCUGCCCACAUUAGUUUAUGUAAUAGUUUAAGUAUGUGAGGAUGAUUUAUUGAAUUCAUAGCCUGUAAAACUUCCUUAUUUACCACGCCUGUCUAUGCUUGCCUAUUUUGUAUUUGUUAGUCUCUCACUUAUGUCUUGUUUUCCAUCUCUAAAUUUGUGCUAAAAUAGUAAUAAUUGCUGUAUCCUAACUGAAACAGAUGUUAGUUUUUUGCAAAGAAUAAAGGAGAAGGGAAAAAGACUGCAGAAAUAAUCCAAUGGCAUCAAGUUUCGGUUUACCGAUAUCGAUAGCUGUGACCUCCAAUCAUUCAAAAAUUCAAUCAUUUGAGAGAAUGAAAGAAGUUUGCUUGGUUAUGAGGAUUCAAAGACGUGGGUUGAUGCCAAAUGCUACAUUCCUUGAAAGUUGACGUCCAGCCGCUCCACCUCCAUCGCUUCCAUAGCAUUGAUUGAAAUCAUCUUGGAUGGGCUUGGGGGAUGUUGAGCUGAUGAAAAAGGUAAUGGGCCAACUUGACUAGAAUCAAUGAGGGUUGGCCUAAUGAGGGUUGGCCUAUGAUCGUAGCCAAUAUAGAAAUUUCGCAUAUUCCAGAUGUGUAAAGUCAAGUGAGAACACAUAAAAAGCCCAAGAGUUUGCCUCUAGGAUCAUCUCCUUAGGAAGCAUCCUCUGCAUUGAUUUUGGAGUUCAGUUCUAUCCCAUUUUUAGGAGUUACAAAAUUGUAAAGUACGGUUAGUUCCAUUCUUGAACCAUGUAAAUCCGAAUGGGUUUUAAAGAUUUUUU